rnacentral:lncRNA from 1 species
CCAUGAGCUUCUCUCCUUAUUUACCCAAUAUAUCACUAUUGCAGAAUCUCCUUCUACUAGAAGGUUAGGUAAACCCUCAUCUUUAGCAAGCUUUAGUCCUACCAUCAACACUAAAAUCUCUGCUUCAAUGGCUAGACCCACUCUAGCAUUCUUAGGGAAUGCUUUCACUUAUGCCCUUUUAUGAUUUGUAAGUGUUCCUCCAAUUCCCAAUUGUCCUAGGUUGUCCGAGGAGCAUACAUCAAAAUUUAACUUGUUGCAUGGGUUGUUUUUAUCAAUGUUGUUCUCUAUGCAUAGUAAAGAGACCCUUAAAUUUUGAACCUAUCCAAUUGCAUCGAUUUCUUCCUUCAAACUCAAGUUGAGCCUUCAAAUUUUUUGCUUGCUGUCAGAUUGACAUGAUUCUUCCACAACAUGAUGGACCUGGCAGACACUCAGCUUCUGCCUACAGUUGCAGUCUACCCUAUGUGUAACUUAGAGGUUGUGCACCAAGUGCUGAUGUUAUGAGGGAUCAAGGGUGGCUUGUGGAGCAGUCCCCUUUUAAGAGUAGGACCAGCACUCUAUCAAUUGGUUCGGGUGUUCUGUAACUUUGGGACACCUAUAGUAUCUAGAUAAUCCUGCAAUUCUGGAGAAAACCCUUCUGAUUUGCUCUGUACCCACUAGUCGAGAAUAGUAAAAAGCUUUAUUCAGCUGUAAUAAUUUUAUUACUUAGAUUGAAUCUUAAUCAUUAGGUUAGCAGAUCAGGAAAAAGUGUCAUGGUUUUGAAUGUUUGUCUCUUUAAUAAUUGCAUUGUGUAUUGAUCCACAAAGUUUGCAGCAUGACAGCAUGACAGUGUGUAUUGAUCCACAAAGUUUGCAGCAAUUGUGGAAUACUAUGGUAGUACAAUAUAUUGAUCCACACAGUUUGUGGCAUGACAGUUUAAGGAAAUUACAGAAGUGUAGCACUGAUGGGUAUGUCAUGUGAACAUUUUUCAAUGGAGCUACUUGUUUAAAUUUACAUGGGUGAAUUGUCACACCAAUAUCCUCUGAUGAACCUUGGGUUUUUUUUUUUUUUUCUUUUUCUUCCUCUCUUGGUCAAGCCAAACAAUUUGUCUUCAUGAGGACUUCAUGUUACCAAUAAGCAGCAUCUUGUGUUCUCCUUCUCUUCAUCCCCUUGUCAAGACAACAAUUUGAUGCAUCUUUGCAUUGGGUUGCUUCCUCUCCCUCUCCUUCCUCCUUGAGGCAAAACCAUAUCAUUGCUUAGUUUUGACUAUGUUCUUUUGAUCAUUGUGAGAAAGCAUCAUUGUAAGAUGUACAAGAAACGUGUUGUGGUGCAUUAUCCCCUUCUCUACCACC